UUCACUCUCUGCUGAUGUAACUGACCAUGACACAUGGCAGUUAAUCUCUUCUUUUCGAUCGGAUUCACUUGGUCGUACGACUCUGAAUCCGUUCAGCAUCAGUCAACUUGGGACUUGAGGGUGCUAUUUCUCUUUUGUUUCUUUCUUUCUUUUUCUUUCUUUUGAUUUCUUUUGAUUUUGAUUUCUUUGGAUUUUGCACCCUCCUCUUUU
rnacentral:lncRNA from 1 species